rnacentral:misc_RNA from 1 species
UGGAACCGUAAACACGUUGGA